rnacentral:rRNA from 1 species
UACGUAGGGUGCGAGCGUUUAAUCGGAAUUACUGGGCGUAAAGCGUGCGCAGGCGGUUUGGUAAGACAGAUGUGAAAUCCCCGGGCUUAACCUGGGAACUGCAUUUGUGACUGCCCGGCUAGAGUGUGUCAGAGGGGGGUAGAAUUCCACGUGUAGCAGUGAAAUGCGUAGAUAUGUGGAGGAAUACCGAUGGCGAAGGCAGCCCCCUGGGAUAACACUGACGCUCAUGCACGAAAGCGUGGGGAGCAAACAGG